rnacentral:rRNA from 1 species
UAGGGAAUAUUGGACAAUGGGCGAAAGCCUGAUCCAGCCAUGCCGCGUGGAUGACGAAGGCCUUCGGGUCGUAAAGUCCUUUUCUCGGGGAAGAACAAGUGAGAGAGUGGAAAGCUCUCGCCCUGACGGUACCUGAGGAAUAAGCAACGGCUAACUCCGUGCCAGCAGCCGCGGUAAUACGGAGGUUGCGAGCGUUGUUCGGAAUAACUGGGCGUAAAGGGAGCGCAGGCGGUUUGGUCAGUCUAAAGUGGAAUCCCGGGGCUCAACCUCGGAAGUGCUUUGGAUACUGCCAAACUUGAGUACGUGAGAGGCAGGCGGAAUUCCUGGUGUAGCGGUGAAAUGCGUAGAUAUCAGGAGGAACACCGGUGGCGAAAGCGGCCUGCUGGCACGAAACUGACGCUGAGGCUCGAAAGCGUGGGGAGCGAACGGG